GCUUAGGUUGUCCUCCUGUGAAUGGCACUAGAUGCUCACACAAACGACUGUCCCACUGAAAAGCGAUGGCCCCGAAGCAGGUCUCGGAAGGAGCCCAGUCAGUGAACAAGCUUAUCCUGUGGCUAGUGGUCGCGAGCCUCACAAGUCUGCACCUUGUCGCUUCCGCUCUGGCAAGGUCUCCUGGGUUCCCUCUGCCGUCCCAGCGAUGCGCUGGCACGGGGCGAGCGGUGAUGAUCUGAUGUUAGACGACCUCGGUGGUCCCUGCUGAUAUUUAAGCAAACACUAAGACUGGCAGCGCUGCAGGGAAUGUUUGUUGGCCCUUGGCAACGGACGUCAUCGGCGAGAAGGGUCGCGCAAGAUUGGCAGAAAAACCAAGGUCUCAGCAGGUCGCAAGCCGGAGUCGUGCACGGUUCUCCAGUUCGCCGCUCUGGGAACGAGGUCCGGGGAGAUUUCGGAAUGGACCCGGGAGAAUGCGUGUGUUCUUGACGAGACGGGCGGUGCACCCGUGUUCCCCAAGAGUUGGAUAUUCCACCUGCGCCAGGUCUGAGGUUCUCAGUCCUACUCCGAGCAGCCAACUCUGCCCACAGAUCAGAAGGACGCUUUGUUUCCUCCACUUGAAAGGAAAAUGGAGCUCAUGAGCAGCCUACUGAUGCUGGGAGUCUCUCUCUGACUUUCAUCCACUGAUGAUGUGACUACAAAAGAAGGUUCUGGGUCCCCACCUCACCCUGAAGUUUGGGCUGUCUUCUGGUCACGGCAGAGUCCUGUCUCCAGUGUCCCUGUAGCUUCCAGAUGACAAUCUGGGACUCCAGGACAGCCAUGGAAGGAUGCGCAAAGCCCCUGUACCUGGGAGUCAUGGACACUCUUGCUCCUCUGUUGAUACCUGAAUCUCCAGGGCUGGUAUGGCAUCUGGACUUGGGAACACCGCACAUCUGGAACUUUGCCUGUUACUGUGAAGAUGUUUAAUGGCCUGAGGUACAGGUCUCCUGAGGAAGGAUGUGAUUCUUACACAUCGAUGGGGUUCCCACACCCUUGGGAAGACAAGCCAGCUGAGCCCAUCAUGACCAAUGUCCCAGCAACCCUUGAGCCUGACCAGUGCAGCGUCGGCUGGCCUGCAGCUGCUGGCUAUCCCCAGAAGUCCCAAGCAUUGUUCCCCAUGAGCCGUUCUACUGCCUUCCACAGCCGAAACCUGCUUCAAGCCUGUCUCAUCAACCAAGAAGCUGAAUUCCCACCCUGCUGCCAGGAGUUUCAGAUGAACACACUGUCUUUCUGGGUGAACAGUUCCCAAGAAUGACCUAGGCAUCUGUAGGAUCUACUGCAGCUGGACUGUCUCCAGGUCCUGAGACCCACCCUGUACAGAAAAGCCUGAAGGCUGUGCACUCUGCAUGU